GAUCAAAUGAUGAAUUCCACGGCUCCAAAACUGAAGAACAUGCCUCUAUUUGGAUAUAAGGCUCUUAAGAGUUCAUCAAUACUUCAUUUGAGAGUUGGAGCAGUACCUUGUAGCCUGCCUGUGCAUCUUGUCCCUAGGAACAUCGUAUUUUACUAGUCAUGUCCACAGCUCUCUGGCUCACACCCCUUUGGGUAUCUCUAAAAACUAAUUGUUAUGAUACCUCUUCUCUAAAAGAGAUUUUCUGAAUGUAUGGCUUUCAAACUCCAGGUGGAAUGGACUGUUUUUUGGUUGGUGUGAAGGCUGGCUCGGGGAGGCCCUGUAAGUUUAUGCAUUCAAUUCCAGCAUUUCAAGUUGUGAAGGCGCAGUUGGCUGGAAGGCAGCCCAGGCAAAUGGAA